rnacentral:rRNA from 1 species
UACGUAGGGGGCGAGCGUUGUCCGGAAUCAUUGGGCGUAAAGCGCGUGUAGGCGGCUCGUUAAGUCCGGUGUGAAACCUUGGGGCUCAACCCCAAGCCUGCACUGGAUACUGACGAGCUCGAGUCCGGGAGGGGAGAGCGGAAUUCCCGGUGUAGAGGUGAAAUUCGUAGAUAUCGGGAGGAACACCAGUGGCGAAGGCGGAGACCUGGGCCGAUACUGACGCUGAGGUGCGAAAGCGUGGGGAGCAAACAGG